rnacentral:rRNA from 2 species
UAGAGUUUGAUCCAUGGCUCAGAAUUGAACGCUGGCGGCAGGCCUAACACAUGCAAGUCGAGCGGUAGAGAGAAGCUUGCUUCUCUUGAGAGCGGCGGACGGGUGAGUAAUGCCUAGGAAUCUGCCUGGUAGUGGGGGAUAACGUCCGGAAACGGACGCUAAUACCGCAUACGUCCUACGGGAGAAAGCAGGGGACCUUCGGGCCUUGCGCUAUCAGAUGAGCCUAGGUCGGAUUAGCUAGUUGGUGAGGUAAUGGCUCACCAAGGCGACGAUCCGUAACUGGUCUGAGAGGAUGAUCAGUCACACUGGAACUGAGACACGGUCCAGACUCCUACGGGAGGCAGCAGUGGGGAAUAUUGGACAAUGGGCGAAAGCCUGAUCCAGCCAUGCCGCGUGUGUGAAGAAGGUCUUCGGAUUGUAAAGCACUUUAAGUUGGGAGGAAGGGCAGUUACCUAAUACGUGAUUGUUUUGACGUUACCGACAGAAUAAGCACCGGCUA